rnacentral:rRNA from 1 species
GACGAACGCUGGCGGCGUGCUUAACACAUGCAAGUCGAACGAUGACGACCGAGCUUGCUCGGUCUGAUUAGUGGCGAACGGGUGAGUAACACGUGAGCAACCUGCCCUUCACUCUGGGAUAACCUCGGGAAAUCGGGGCUAAUACCGGAUGUGAGCUCCUGUCGCAUGGCGGGUGUUGGAAAGUUUUUCGGUGAAGGAUGGGCUCGCGGCCUAUCAGUUUGUUGGUGAGGUAGUGGCUCACCAAGGCGAUGACGGGUAGCCGGCCUGAGAGGGCGACCGGCCACACUGGGACUGAGACACGGCCCAGACUCCUACGGGAGGCAGCAGUGGGGAAUAUUGCACAGUGGGCGGAAGCCUGAUGCAGCGACGCCGCGUGAGGGAUGACGGCCUUCGGGUUGUAAACCUCUUUCAGCAGGGAAGAAGCGAAAGUGACGGUACCUGCAGAAGAAGCGCCGGCUAACUACGUG